UCCGGUGGUUUUAGCGAAGGGGUCACACCCGUUCCCAUUUCGAACACGGAAGUUAAGCCCUUCAGCGCCGAUGGUACUGCAUGGGUAACUGUGUGGGAGAGUAGGACGUUGCCGGAU
rnacentral:rRNA from 1 species